AUUGAACGCUGGCGGCAGGCCUAACACAUGCAAGUCGAGCGGAUGAAGGGAGCUUGCUCCUGGAUUCAGCGGCGGACGGGUGAGUAAUGCCUAGGAAUCUGCCUGGUAGUGGGGGAUAACGUCCGGAAACGGGCGCUAAUACCGCAUACGUCCUGAGGGAGAAAGUGGGGGAUCUUCGGACCUCACGCUAUCAGAUGAGCCUAGGUCGGAUUAGCUAGUUGGUGGGGUAAAGGCCUACCAAGGCGACGAUCCGUAACUGGUCUGAGAGGAUGAUCAGUCACUCUGGAACGGAGGCACGGUCCAAUCUCCUACGGGAGGCAGCAGUGGGGAAUAUUGGACAAUGGGCGAAAGCCUGAUCCAGCCAUGCCGCGUGUGUGAAGAAGGUCUUCGGAUUGUAAAGCACUUUAAGUUGGGAGGAAGGGCAGUAAGUUAAUACCUUGCUGUUUUGACGUUACCAACAGAAUAAGCACCGGCUAACUUCGUG
rnacentral:rRNA from 1 species